UACAGAGGUCUCAAGCGUUGUUCGGAUUCAUUGGGCGUAAAGGGUGUGUAGGUGGCGCGCUAAGUCGGGUGUGAAAUUUCGGAGCUUAACUCCGAAACUGCAUUCGAUACUGGCGUGCUUGAGGACUGGAGAGGAGACUGGAAUUCAUGGUGUAGCAGUGAAAUGCGUAGAGAUCAUGAGGAAGACCAGUGGCGAAGGCGGGCUCUGG
rnacentral:rRNA from 1 species